UAUACUUUAAGUUUUAGGGUACAUGUGCACAACGUGCAGGUUUAUUACAUAUGUAUACGUGUGCCAUGUUGGUGUGCUGCACCCAUUAACUCGUCAUUUAACAUUAGUUAUAUCUCCUAAUGCUAUCCCUCCUCCCUCCUCCCACCCCACAACAGGCCCCGGUGUGUCAUGUUCCCCUUCCUGUGUCCAUGUGUUCUCAUUGUUCAAUUCCCACCUAUGAGUGAGAACAUGCGGUGUUUGGUUUUUUGUCCUUGCAAUAAUUUUCUGAGAAUGAUGGUUUCCAGCUUCAUCCAUGUCCCUACAAAGGACAUGAACUCAUCCUUUUUUAUGGCUGCAUAGUGUUCCAUGGUGUAUAUGUGCCACAUUUUCUUAAUCCAGUCUAUCAUUGUUGGACAUUUGGGUUGGCUCCAAGUCUUUGCUAUUGUGAAUAGUGCCGCAAUGAACAUACGUGUGCAUGUGUCUUUACAGCAGCAUGAUUUAUAAUCCUUUGGGUAUAUACCCAGUAAUAGGAUGGCUGGGUCAAAUGGUAUUUCUAGUUCUAGAUCCCUGAGGAAUCACCACACUGACUUCCACCAUGGUUGAACUAGUUUACAGUCCCACCAACAGUGUAAAAGUGUUCCUAUUUCUCCACAUCCUCUCCAGCACCUGUUGUUUCCUAACUUUUUAAUGAUCGCCAUUCUAACUGGCGUGAGAUGGUAUCUCAUUGUGGUUUUGAUUUGCAUUUCUCUGAUGGUCAGUGAUGAUGAGCAUUUUUUUAUGUGUCUUUUGGCUGCAUGAAUGUCUUCUUUUGGGAAGUGUCUGUUCAUAUCCUUCGCCCACUUGUUGAUGGGGUUGUUUGUUUUUUUCUUGUAAAUUUGUUUGAGUUCUUUGUAGAUUCUGGAUAUUAGUCCUUUGUCAGAUGAGUAGAUUGCAAAAAUUUUCUCCCAUUUUGUAGGUUGCCUGUUCACUCUGAUGGUCGUUUCUUUUGCUGUGCAGAAGCUCUUUAGUUUAAUUAGAUCCCAUUUGUCAAUUUUGGCUUUUGUUGCCAUUGCUUUUGGUGUUUUAGACAUGAAGUCCUUGCCCAUGCCUAUGUCCUGAAUGGUAUUGCCUAGGUUUUCUUCUAGGGUUUUUAUGGUUUUAGGUCUAACAUGUAAGUCUUUAAUCCAUCUUGAAUUAAUUUUUGUAUAAGGUGUAAGGAAGGGAUCCAGUUUCAGCUUUCUACAUAUGGCUAGCCAGUUUUCCCAGCACCAUUUAUUAAAUAGGGAAUCCUUUCCCCAUUUCUUGUUUUUGUCAGGUUUGUCAAAGAUCAGAUAGUUGUAGAUACGUGGCAUUAUUUCUGAGGGCUCUGUUCUGUUCCAUUGGUCUAUAUCUCUGUUUUGGUACCAGUACCAUGCUGUUUUAGUUACUGUAACCUUGUGUUAUAGUUUGAAAUCAGGUAGCAUGAUGCCUCCAGUUUUGUUCUUUUUGCUUAGGAUUAUCUUGGCAAUGCGGGCUCUUUUUUGGUUCCAUAUGAACUUUAAAGUAGUUUUUUCCAAUUCUGUGAAGAAAGUCAUUAAUAGCUUGAUGGGGAUGGCAUUGAAUCUAAAAAUUAUCUUGGGCAGUAUAGCCAUUUUCAUGAUAUUGAUUCUUCCUACCCAUAAGCAUGGAAUGUUCUUCCAUUUGUUUGUAUCCUCUUUUAUUUCAUUGAGCAGUGGUUUGUAGUUCUCCUUGAAGAGGUCCUUCACAUCCCUUGUAAGUUGGAUUCCUAGGUAUUUUAUUCUCUUUGAAGCAAUUGUGAAUGGGAGUUCACUCAUGAUUUGGCUCUCUGUUUGUCUGUUAUUGGUGUAUAAGAAUGCUUGUGAUUUUUGCACAUUGAUUUUGUAUCCUGAGAGUUUGCUGAAUUUGCUUAUCAGCUUAAGGAGAUUUUGGGCUGAGACGAUGGGGUUUUCUAGAUAUACAAUCAGACAUGAUUUUUUAAAUGGUAUCAUAUCAUAGAGUGUGAGCAUAAAAUAAUGUAAUCAGGCAUUUAAAAUCACAAAAUAAUGUAAUCAGGCAUUUAAAUUUUUCUCAAUUUUAGAUUACCAUAAAAAUGCUACAAUAAUUGUUAAGCAAUAUAAAUUUCCUUAAUAUAUAUUCAUAAAAGUGAAGUAGGGGGUCAAAGGGAAUACACUGUAUUAAUUUAUGCUCCCAUCUUCAGUUUGUACAAGCAUUCAUUUUACUAUUUUUAUGAACAUUCACAAUUCUCUUUUUCUUUUUUUUUGAGACAACAUCUCACUCCCGUCACCCAGACUGGAGUGCAAUAGCAGAAUCACAGCUCACUAUAGCCUCUGCUUUCCAGGCUCAGGUGAUUCUCCUACUUCAGCUUCCUGAGUAGCUAGGACGACAGGCAUGCAUCACCACGCCCAGCUAAUUUUUAGUAGAGUCAGGGUUUUGUCAUAUUGCCCAGGCUGGUCUCAAACUCUCCUCCCACGUUUGCCUGCCAAAGUUCUGUGAUUACAGGUGUGAGCCACCAUGCUUGGCCUCGCAGUUAUCUUUAAGAAAAAAAUAAAUGCUUAUAUAAUAGUAAUUCAUUAUUUGGCUUUUUUUUUGUAAUUA
rnacentral:lncRNA from 1 species